GGCCCUCCUGGACCGAGGGUCCACUGGGCCCUUUUCCCGCCGCCCCUCUGCCCUGGCCGUAGACGGUGACCUUCGGACCGGCCCUGGUCGAGCCUAGUGCUUGGCCCGGAAAUUCUGGAUGCUGGUUUCUUUCUCUCGAAAGCGACCUCUGCAAAGACAAAUACCAUCCGGUGGGAAGAACUGGGAAUCCGUUGGGGAAGAGCCCCCCAACCCUCACACCCACUUGCAAGUAUCUGCCACACCCAAGAUGGCAGGGUGAAGCCGGAGAGGAGUUUCUCAGGGAGGAAGGGGAGGUGAGGGGCCAGGGCGCUGGCCUCACCGGCUUCUCAUUUUCCCCAGAGAUGACCUAGUGUGAUCCACUUCCUCUUGUCUUUUUUUGUUCAUUACUGGGUCGGUUAUUUAAACUCUCUGUAUCUCAGUUCACUUAUCAAUAAAAUGAUAAAUAAUA
rnacentral:lncRNA from 1 species